AGCACUACGAACUCUUCAUAUUGAACUUGAUUUCUCGAAUGUGCCUUUGGUAAUAAGGAGUGGAAUAUUUUUUGGACAGGAUGGAUCCUUGGCAAUAAUGCAUUAUGUCAAUGAAAUCUAUCCCUUGGUGUUGGAUCAAGUGUGGCACUGUUGUUUACCAAAGUCACUUGACCCUCUUCUAAACUAUCAUUUUUCAGGAUAGUUAACUGAAGUGUCCAAACAAGAUAGUCAAAAGAUCUACCAAUCACACAGCCGAGAGAAAUGUUGCGACUACUACCGAUACGUUUAACAUUGUGCCACGCCUCUGGGAUCACACCUUUGGAUAUGAGAUGAGGCAGGCCCCAGCCAGCCAAAUCCAGAAGCGAUGGUGUUGAUUUCGACCUGUUUCCAGCAGCAAUAAGGCGCCAAUUUGAUAUCGUCACCAUGGCCUUCGUCCAGACAGCAGCAACUCUCCAGCAUUACGUCAGACCUGAGGAGUCCCAGCGACAAUCGCUGCACCCCACAAUGGGAACUGGUCACUAUUUAUAAUUACAAUUCUUUUUCACAGAAAACUUGCUGUGGAUAUGUAACAACUAUUUUUGCAUUAUAAUUAU